rnacentral:rRNA from 2 species
UGGAUCCAGACUUUGAUUCUGGCUCAGGAUGAACGCUGGCGGCGUGCUUAACACAUGCAAGUCGAACGGAGCACCUGCACGGAGCCCCUCCGGGGGCGAAGCGCAGGCGUCUUAGUGGCGGACGGGUGAGUAACGCGUGGGCAACCUGCCCUAUACAGGGGGAUAACAGCUGGAAACGGCUGUUAAUACCGCAUAAGCGCACAGCGCCGCAUGGCGCGGUGCGGAAAACUACGGUGGUAUAGGAUGGGCCCGCGUCUGAUUAGCUAGUUGGCGGGGUAACGGCCCGCCAAGGCGACGAUCAGUAGCCGGCCUGAGAGGGCGGCCGGCCACAUUGGGACUGAGACACGGCCCAAACUCCUGCGGGAGGCAGCAGUGGGGGAUAUUGCACAAUGGGGGGAACCCUGAUGCAGCGACGCCGCGUGGGCGAGGAAGUACCUCGGUAUGUAAGCCCUAUCGGCAGGGAAGAAAAAGGACGGUACCUGACUAAGAAGCCCCGGCUAACUACGUGCCAGCAGCCGCGGUAAUACGUAGGGGGCAAGCGUUAUCCGGAUUCACUGGGCGUAAAGGGAGCGCAGGCGGCACGGCAAGUCUGGUGUGAAAGCCCGUGGCUCAACCACGGGACUGCAUUGGAAACUGCCGGGCUGGAGUGUCGGAGGGGCAAGUGGAAUUCCUAGUGUAGCGGUGAAAUGCGUAGAUAUUAGGAGGAACACCAGUGGCGAAGGUGGCUUGCUGGACGACGACUGACGCUGAGGCUCGAAAGCGUGGGGAGCAAACAGGAUUAGAUACCCUGGUAGUCCACGCCGUAAACGUUGAAUACUAGGUGUCGGGGGGCAUGGCCCGCCGGUGCCGCAGCAAACGCAUUAAGUAUUCCGCCUGGGGAGUACGUUCGCAAGAAUGCAACUCAAAGGAAUUGACGGA